rnacentral:rRNA from 1 species
UACGGAAGGCAGCAGUGGGGAAUAUUGCACAAUGGGCGAAAGCCUGAUGCAGCUAUGCCGCGUGUAUGAAGAAGGCCUUAGGGUUGUAAAGUACUUUCAUCGGGGAGGAAAAAACAAAACUAAUAAUUUUAUUUCUUGACGUUACCCGAAAAAGAAGCACCGGCUAACUCCGUGCCAGCAGCCGCGGUAAUACGGAGGGUGCUAGCGUUAAUCAGAAUUACUGGGCGUAAAGAGCACGUAGGUGGUUUUUUUAAAGUCAGAUGUGAAUCCCUGGGCUUAACCUAGGAACUGCAUUUUGAAACUGAAAUACUAGAGUAUCGUAGAGGGAGGUAGAAUUCUAGGUGUAGCGGUGAAAUGCGUAGAUAUCUGGAGGAAUACCUGUGGCGAAAGCGGCCUCCUAAACGAAUACUGACACUGAGGUGCGAAAGCGUGGGGAGCGAAACAGGGAUUAGAUACC